UUAAGCGACUAAGCGUACACGGUGGAUGCCCUGGCAGUCAGAGGCGAUGAAGGACGUGCUAAUCUGCGAAAAGCGUCGGUAAGGUGAUAUGAACCGUUAUAACCGGCGAUGUCCGAAUGGGGAAACCCAGUGCAAUUCGUUGCACUAUCGUUAACUGAAUACAUAGGUUAACGAGGCGAACCGGGGGAACUGAAACAUCUAAGUACCCCGAGGAAAAGAAAUCAACCGAGAUUCCCCCAGUAGCGGCGAGCGAACGGGGAGCAGCCCAGAGUCUGAAUCAGCUUGUGUGUUAGUGGAACGGUCUGGAAAGUCCGACGGUACAGGGUGAUAGUCCCGUACACCAAAAUGCACAGGUUGUGAACUCGAAGAGUAGGGCGGGACACGUGGUAUCCUGUCUGAAUAUGGGGGGACCAUCCUCCAAGGCUAAAUACUCCUGACUGACCGAUAGUGAACCAGUACCGUGAGGGAAAGGCGAAAAGAACCCCGGCGAGGGGAGUGAAAAAGAACCUGAAACCGUGUACGUACAAGCAGUGGGAGCACCUUCGGGUGUGACUGCGUACCUUUUGUAUAAUGGGUCAGCGACUUAUAUUCUGUAGCAAGGUUAACCGUAUAGGGGAGCCGCAGGGAAACCGAGUCUUAACUGGGCGUUAAGUUGCAGGGUAUAGACCCGAAACCCGGUGAUCUAGCCAUGGGCAGGUUGAAGGUUGGGUAACACUAACUGGAGGACCGAACCGACUAAUGUUGAAAAAUUAGCGGAUGACUUGUGGCUGGGGGUGAAAGGCCAAUCAAACCGGGAGAUAGCUGGUUCUCCCCGAAAGCUAUUUAGGUAGCGCCUCGUGAACUCAUCUUCGGGGGUAGAGCACUGUUUCGGCUAGGGGGUCAUCCCGACUUACCAACCCGAUGCAAACUACGAAUACCGAAGAAUGUUAUCACGGGAGACACACGGCGGGUGCUAACGUCCGUCGUGAAGAGGGAAACAACCCAGACCGCCAGCUAAGGUCCCAAAGUCAUGGUUAAGUGGGAAACGAUGUGGGAAGGCACAGACAGCCAGGAUGUUGGCUUAGAAGCAGCCAUCAUUUAAAGAAAGCGUAAUAGCUCACUGGUCGAGUCGGCCUGCGCGGAAGAUGUAACGGGGCUAAACCAUGCACCGAAGCUGCGGCAGCGACACNNNNNNNNNNNNNNNNNNNNNNNNNNNNNNNNNNNNNCCUGUGAGGGUUGCUGGAGGUAUCAGAAGUGCGAAUGCUGACAUAAGUAACGAUAAAGCGGGUGAAAAGCCCGCUCGCCGGAAGACCAAGGGUUCCUGUCCAACGUUAAUCGGGGCAGGGUGAGUCGACCCCUAAGGCGAGGCCGAAAGGCGUAGUCGAUGGGAAACAGGUUAAUAUUCCUGUACUUGGUGUUACUGCGAAGGGGGGACGGAGAAGGCUAUGUUAGCCGGGCGACGGUUGUCCCGGUUUAAGCAUGUAGGCUGGUUAUCCAGGCAAAUCCGGAUAAUCAAGGCUGAGGUGUGAUGACGAGGCACUACGGUGCUGAAGUAACAAAUGCCCUGCUUCCAGGAAAAGCCUCUAAGCAUCAGGUAACAUCAAAUCGUACCCCAAACCGACACAGGUGGUCAGGUAGAGAAUACCAAGGCGCUUGAGAGAACUCGGGUGAAGGAACUAGGCAAAAUGGUGCCGUAACUUCGGGAGAAGGCACGCUGGUGUGUAGGUGAAGUCCCUGCGGAUGGAGCUGAGACCAGUCGAAGAUACCAGCUGGCUGCAACUGUUUAUUAAAAACACAGCACUGUGCAAACACGAAAGUGGACGUAUACGGUGUGACGCCUGCCCGGUGCCGGAAGGUUAAUUGAUGGGGUUAUCCGUAAGGAGAAGCUCUUGAUCGAAGCCCCGGUAAACGGCGGCCGUAACUAUAACGGUCCUAAGGUAGCGAAAUUCCUUGUCGGGUAAGUUCCGACCUGCACGAAUGGCGUAAUGAUGGCCAGGCUGUCUCCACCCGAGACUCAGUGAAAUUGAACUCGCUGUGAAGAUGCAGUGUACCCGCGGCAAGACGGAAAGACCCCGUGAACCUUUACUAUAGCUUGACACUGAACAUUGAGCCUUGAUGUGUAGGAUAGGUGGGAGGCUUUGAAGCGUGGACGCCAGUCUGCGUGGAGCCAACCUUGAAAUACCACCCUUUAAUGUUUGAUGUUCUAACGUGGGCCCCUGACCGGGGUUGCGGACAGUGUCUGGUGGGUAGUUUGACUGGGGCGGUCUCCUCCCAAAGCGUAACGGAGGAGCACGAAGGUUAGCUAAUCCUGGUCGGACAUCAGGAGGUUAGUGCAAUGGCAUAAGCUAGCUUGACUGCGAGCGUGACGGCGCGAGCAGGUGCGAAAGCAGGUCAUAGUGAUCCGGUGGUUCUGAAUGGAAGGGCCAUCGCUCAACGGAUAAAAGGUACUCCGGGGAUAACAGGCUGAUACCGCCCAAGAGUUCAUAUCGACGGCGGUGUUUGGCACCUCGAUGUCGGCUCAUCACAUCCUGGGGCUGAAGUAGGUCCCAAGGGUAUGGCUGUUCGCCAUUUAAAGUGGUACGCGAGCUGGGUUUAGAACGUCGUGAGACAGUUCGGUCCCUAUCUGCCGUGGGCGCUGGAGAAUUGAGGGGGGCUGCUCCUAGUACGAGAGGACCGGAGUGGACGCAUCACUGGUGUUCGGGUUGUCAUGCCAAUGGCACUGCCCGGUAGCUAAAUGCGGAAGAGAUAAGUGCUGAAAGCAUCUAAGCACGAAACUUGCCCCGAGAUGAGUUCUCCCUGAGACUUUAAGUCUCCUGAAGGAACGUUGAAGACGACGACGUUGAUAGGCCGGGUGUGUAAGCGCAGCGAUGCGUUGAGCUAACCGGUACUAAUGAACCGUGAGGCUUAACCUU
rnacentral:rRNA from 2 species